rnacentral:lncRNA from 1 species
UAUGACCAAAAUGAGACGAAACUCAAAGAUAUGUGUCUCUAUCAAUAUCUAUCUACAAACACGCAAGUACAUCAUUCAUCAUAUAAGCAUAUCAUAAUCGUUCCUUUUUUAUAACUAGUAAUGAAACAAGAAAACAGUAGUCCCAGAAAUGAGGACCAAUCCAAACAAAAAAGAAUGUGUUAGAUAGUAAUUAUCCAUUUGAAUUGUUUAAUACUUGAAGUUUACUUUUACCGAUAUGAGUAAAUCGGUAACUUUGUUACUAUAAAUAUGUACUUCAUGUUAAGGAGAGUGAUCGAUCAAUUGAAGAUAAUCAAAAACUUCUUCUUCUCAUUCCACUAAGCUCUCUCUCAUAUUAUAUAAUAUAUUUAAAACGUUAUCAGCACGAACGUCUCUUGAUCCGCUCUUAUACCUAAAGAGGUAAGAUUUAAAUUUAUGUUUAUUUCAAAUUUUACGUAUUAUUUUUGGAAUGAUAGGCUCUGCCUUUCCCGAACCAUUAAUUAAAUUUAUAUUAAAGUUUACGGGAUGAUAGGUUCUGCCUUUCCCGAACCGAUCGUUGAGAUAGACUAUGCCUUCACGAUCAUAUGAUCAUAUGGUAGACUAUAUCUCCUCAGAUCAUAUAUAUGGAGUAGAAGGUUAAACCUCCUCCUUCAUAUUAUGUUUAUGGAGUAAAAGGCUCUGCCUCCUCAAAAUUAUAUGGUAGGCUAUACCUCCUCAAAAAUUAUGGUAGGCUCUGCCUCCUCAAAAUAUGGUAGACUCUGCCUCCUCAAAUUAUAUGGAAGGCUCUGCCUGUUGUAUUAUUUUAAAUUUCAUGUUUUUAUUAUGUGUGAGAAUUAAUUUUUUCUAUCAUGUUUUUUUGAAAAACAAAUUUUUAAACCGAACGUUUGCUAAAUUUAUUUUUAAUAAAAUUAUAUACAGUUAUAAUGUCGAAUUUGGCAAACCUCGAAAUCCCUGCCCUUGAUAUGUCUGGGAAAAAUUAUAUGUCAUGGGCAGUAGGUGCAAAAAUGCAUCUAAGAGGAAACAGGCUUCUCGAUACCAUCGAUAAGUCGGAAACGACAUCGGAUGAGUUAAAGGCGAAAGCCAUGAUAUUUUUCCUCCACGACAUCGAUAAUAGUUUAAAAGAGGAAUACAUCACGAAAGAAGAUCCUGCAGAUCUUUGGCAAUCUCUCAAAGAUAAGUUUGAUCACCAGAAAUAUGUGAUCUUACCAAAAGCCAAACAUGAGUGGUUGAACCUCCGGUUUCAGGAUUACAAAAGUGUUGGUGAAUACAAUUCCACUAUGUUCGGAAUUACUUCUAGGAUGAUGUUAUGUGGACAUGAGGUAAGUGAUUUCAACAUGAUCGAAAAAACUCUCCAAACAUUUCAUCCUGGAAAUGUAAUCCUGCAACAACAAUACCGGGCAAAAGGUUACACCACUUACUCGGAGUUGAUGCAAAUCCUCCUUGUAGCUGAACAAAAUAAUCAGCUCGUGAUGUUGAACUAUCAAACUCGUCCAACUGGAUCAUCGCCAUUCCCAAAAGCGAAUGUUGCGUCAUCCAGUCAAAAUAAUAAAACCGUUACCGCGGUCGUGGACGAGGUCGUGGACGAGGAAGACAAAAUGAUGUUGGUCGGGAAGCAGGAAAGCAAAAGGAAGCUGCUUGUUACAGAUGCGGCAUGAAAAAUCAUUAGGCAAAAACAUGUCGUACACCAAGACAUUUAGCCGAUCUGUAUCGAGCAUCACAAGGUGCCAAAGAAAAGGAUAAAGGAAAUAAUUUUGAAACCAGUUUCAUCUCUGAUGAAGCUGGAACUUCCUUUGAUGGCAUAAGUGAAUAUACUCAUCUUGAUAUCGCUGAUUUCCUAGUUGAUCCAGAAGAAUCAACGGAAACAAAGCGAUUAAGAUCGACGUAAUGUAAAGUCUUCUCAAAGAAGACAAGAAAAACCCUAUGUAAUUUUAAAUAAGAAUGUAAUAUGCUUUUAUUAACAAGACAAGGUUUUUCUUAAUAGAAAUAAUUUUUAAAAUCAUGUUUUGAUUUAUUAAUGCAUUUUCUUGCAUAUUUGAUUCAGAUUAUGUCAUCAUUUGAGAUUCAGGAUGGAGAUACAUGUCUAGCCGAUAGUGCUACGACACAUACUAUACUUAAAGAUAAAAAGUAUUUCUCCUGUCUCAAAAUAAAAGACUCCGCCGGAAGCGUGGGUACCAUAUCUGGAAAUGCAAAUAUUAUAAUUGGUUUCGGAAGAGCUAAUUUUUCAAUGCCAAGGGGGACAAAUUUUGAAAUAAAUGAUGCAUUACAUUCCCCCGAAUCCAGUAGAAACUUGCUAAGUUUUAAAGAUAUCCGAGGAAAUGGAUAUCAUAUAGCAAGUACAAAUAAGAAUGGCAUUGAAUAUCUUUGCAUUAUAUCUGAGAGGAAACACGUAUUGGAAGAAUUACCAAUGAUGUCUCUGGGUUAUAUUGCACAAAAAUAAAUAUGACUAAAUCCUAUGUUACAGUAAACCCGGGGUUUACUAGUACAUUUAGAGUAUGGCAUGAAAGACUUGGCCAUCCUGGAUCAGUCAUGAUGCGAAGGAUUGUACAAAAUUCGAAUGGCCACCCAUUGAAAAACCAAAAGAUUUUUCAAUCGGGAGAGUUUUCAUGUCAGGCAUGUUCUCAAGGAAAACUCAUAACUAGGCCCUCACCAGUCAAAGUUGGGAAUGAAUCUCCUGUAUUCUUAGAGAGAAUACAUGGUGAUAUAUGUGGGCCGAUUCACCCACCGUGCGGGCCAUUUAGUUAUUUCAUGGUAUUAAUUGACGCAUCUACCAGAUGGUCACAUGUGUGUUUAUUGACCACAAGAAAUAUGGCUUUCGCAAAAUUCAUUGCCCAAAUAAUCAGGUUGAAAGCGCAAUUCUCUGAUUAUGCCAUAAAGAAAGUCAGGCUUGACAACGCUGGUGAAUUCACUUCAGCAGCUUUUAAUGACUAUUGUAUGUCAUUAGGAAUCGAUGUUGAACAUCCGGUUCCACAUGUUCAUACACAAAAUAGCAUGGCUGAGUCUUUAAUAAAACGGUUGCAAUUGAUAGCAAGACCGUUAAUAUUGAGAACAAAACUCCCAAUUACUGUAUGGGGACAUGCUAUAUUGCAUGCUGGGGCAUUGGUUUAGAUGAGGCCAAGUGCAUAUAAUGAAUAUUCCCCAAUACAGUUAACAUCUGGCAAGGAGCCAAAUGUAUCCCAUCUCCGUAUAUUUGGAUGUGCGGUCUAUGUCCCAAUAGCCCCACCGCAAAGAACAAAAAUAGGGCCACAAAGGAGAUUGGGAAUAUAUAUCGGUUAUACGUCACCAAGUAUAAUUAGAUAUCUUGAACCGGUAACUGGAGAUAUGUUUACGGCACGUUUUGCCGAUUGCCACUUUGAUGAAAAUGAAUUCCCAGCAUUGGGGGGAGGAUAAAGAGAAUCACCAAAAGAUAUCACAUGGUGUACACAAACUUUGGCUUAUCUCGAUCCCACUACCCAUCAACGCGAAAUGGAAGUUCAGAAAAUCAUACAUUUACAAAGGUUGGCAAACCAGUUACCUGAUGCGUUCACAAAUACGAGAAGAGUGACAAAAUCAUAUAUCCCCGCUGCUAAUGCUCCAUCAAAAAUAAAUGUUCCGGAACUAGUUAUUGAUGGGAAUAAAGCAAAUGAACCGCGGGCUCAAUUAAAGCGCGGGAGACCGAUGGGCUCGAAGGAUAAAAAUCCUCGAAAGAAAAAGAAAUUGGGAGACAAUGUUCCAGAAGAACCAAAUAAAGGAAAAUGUCUUGAAGACAUUGGUUAAAAAGUUCGAGAAGAACCACAUAGAGAUAUAUGUCCUGAAGACAUACAUGAAGAGGUUCCAGAAGAACCAGUAAAAGAAGUUCGUCCAGAAGACGAACAUGAUACUGAAAAGUGUGAGAUUUCCAUUAACUUCGCCCAAAGUGGGACAUUAUGGGCUAGAAACGAGAUAAAUGAUAUAAAUGGAAUAUUCUCCUUUUCGGUAUCCAAAGAAAUUGAAAAUGAAAACGAUGAUCCAGACCCAAGGUCCGUGUCAGAAUGCCAGAAAAGACCUGACUGGGAGAAAUGGCAAAUGGCCAUGAGAAAUGAAUUAAUCUCCCUGAAUAAAAGAAAUGUCUUUGGACCUAACUAAAGAUGUAAUGCCAGUCGGGUGCAAAUGGGUCUUUGUGAGAAAAGGAAAUGAGAAAAACGAGGUCACACGAUAUAAAGCCCGACUUGUGGCACAAGGUUUUUCUCAAAGACCGGGAAUUGAUUAUGAAGAUACAUAUUCCCCGGUCAUGGAUGCAAUCACAUUCAGGUACUUAAUGAGCCUAACAGCAUCUAAAAAUCUAGACAUAUACCUUAUGGAUGUUGUGACUGCAUAUCUAUAUAGAUCACUUGAUAGUGAAAUAUACAUGAAAAUUCCAGAGGGAGUAAAGAUCCCAGAAGGAUCAAAGAUGUCUGAAGCAUCUAAAGACAUAUGUUCGGUCAAAUUACAGCGAUCACUUUACGGAUUAAAACAGUCUGGACGCAUGUGGUAUAAUCGCUUAAGUGAAUAUUUGUUGAGUAAAGGAUACAUCAACAAUGCGAUAUGCCCUUGCGUAUUUAUUAAGAAAUCCUCGUCUGGAUUUGUGAUCAUUGCUGUAUAUAUUGAUGACCUGAACAUAAUUGGAACUCAAAAGGAGAUUGAUGAUGCAAGAACUCACAUGAAAGAAGAGUUCGAAAUAAAAGAUCUUGGAAAGACAAAAUUUUGUCUAGGGCUCCAGAUUGAGCAUUUCCAAGACGGAAUAUUUGUGCAUCAAUCAAAUUACAAGGUGUUAAAACGCUUUAAAAUGGAUAAAGCAACUCCUUUGAGUACUCCAAUGGUCAAUAGAUCACUUGAUAUUAACAAGGAUCCAUUUCGACCUUGUGAAGAUAGCGAAAAUGUAUUAGGUCCUGAAGUACCUUAUAUGAGCGCUAUCAGUGGGCUUAUGUAUCUUGCAAAUUGUACUCGACCAGAUAUAGCUUUUGCUACUAAUCUACUUGCAAGAUACAGCUCAUCUCCUACGCGUAGACAUUGGAAUGGGAUAAAACAUAUUUUUUGUUAUCUCCAAGGUACGAUUGAUCUGGGUUUAUUUUAUCAUAGAAACCCCAAAGUUGGUCUAGUUGGUUUUGCAGAUGCAGGAUAUUUAUCAGAUCCGCUUAAAGCUCGAUCGCAAACUGGAUAUGUUUUCACAAUUGGUGGAACGGCGAUCUCAUGUCGUUCUCAAAAACAGACUUUGGUCGCCACUUCUUCAAAUUAUGCGGAAAUCAUUGCUCUUCAUGAAGCAUGUAGAGAAUGCAUAUGGCUCAGAUCCAUGACUCAACAUAUACAAGGUGCAAGUGGAAUAGUCAUCGAUACGGAACCAACAAAAAUAUUUGAAGAUAAUGCUGCAUGUGUCACUCAACUAAAAGAAGGCUAUAUUAAGAGUGACAGAACGAAAUAUAUUCCUCCAAGGUUUUUCUCUUAUACGCAAGAGCUCGAGAAGAAUCAAGAAGUCGAUAUCCAAUAUAUUUUAUGUGAAAAUGCGGCGGACCUCUUUACAAAGGCGCUUCCUACUACAGUAUUCAGAAAGCAUAUUCAAAAUAUCGCAAUGCGUCAUUUGCGAGAUUUAUGAAGAGAACGUUAUUCCAUCAUUUUAGAGGAAGAUUACGUUACUAUACUCUUUUUCCCUUGUCAUGGUUUUUAUCCUAUUGGGUUUUUUCAUAAUAAGGUUUUUAACAAGGUAGUACGUAAUACAUUAACGAUGAUGGAUAAUUAAAAGAAAGUGUUAGAUAGUAAUUAUCCAUUUGAAUUGUUUAAUAAUUACUUCUACUUGAAGUUUACUUUUACCGACAUGAGUAAGUCGGUAACUUUGUUACUAUAAAUAUGUACUUCACGUUAAGGAGAGUGAUCGAUCAAUUGAAGAUAAUCAAAAACUUCUUCUUCUCAUUCCACUAAGCUCUCUCUCAUAUUAUUAUAAUUCUCCAAUAACAACCCUGAAAAUCAAACAGGCUCUUCUAAUACCUGUAAGAUGAUCCUGGCGGUGCCGAUGGGAGCCAGUUUGGCGUGGUACGACAGUUGCUACCACCAGAACCAGAGGAAUCCUCACCAUUCUAAGAUGGAUCAUUGUACUGCCGGCUAUGACCACCAGAUCCAUACCUCCUCAACGAGUCCCCUCCACUAGCAGCAGCGUUAAACGCGUUCAUCCAAUCCUCACUAGAAGAUCCUCCAUUGGUUCUUGCGCUGCUGUGAGGAUCUGGUUCAUGAUUUAGGUCGGUUCUAUCGAAUCUAGCUGGUUUGGUGUUAACCAGGUCUGAGUUAAGGUGGGCUUAGGUCCAAGUAUCAGAGUCGCAGACUUGGAGAGCUAUUGGGCUUCGGUGAUUUGGUGUUGGCCCAGACUCAUUAGACGAGGUCGUUUUAAGGUGAAAGAGGAAGCUCAACAAACUCUAACGUUCGAGUCUUCUUCUUCCUUUUGACUUUCUAUGAUCUUAUCUGUUGUAACAAACUCUUCAAGAAUUCUCUGUACAAGCUCAGAUAGUGGAUUAUGCAGGUUCCGUUUCUGAAGAGUGAUGUACCCAAGGUUUCUGGGGAACUCUAUACUUGCCUCGUGUUGAUCUAGUUUUUCUGCAUUCACAAAGAGUGAGAGAGAGAGUACGAGAAGUGAAAGUGAUUAGAUCAAAGAGAGUUGCUAUCAUAUCGGUAACGAGUGGUAUCAGAGCGUUAGGUUUGGACACACUCAAGUCUCAAGGAUACAAAGGCGACUCGAGGAUCAAAUCGGAGUUUCAAGGAUCGAAGGAGGAGACGUUCGCGAGCUUCACUGACCAACAGUGAAGAAAAAGGUGAUCUCAUCGUGAGAUUGAAAUCUACGAGUUCAAACCAAGAACUCAGGGAAGUUUCUCAAAACCUUUUCUUCGUAGUUAUCCCAACUAUUGUUCUAAAGCCCAUCGAAAUCUUAUACUGUGGAAUCUAUCUUGAAUCGGUAUUGCGUAUCUGAAAUAUUGAUUGCGAGAGAUAUUUUGCUUGGAUCUGUUGCUGGUUUGGUCUGUUCUUGUAUUGUAAACUUUUUUUGCAGGUGAUACUUGGUCAAUUCUUAAAUCAACCAUGGAACCAACACAGGGAAGAUUCAAAAUAGAGAAAUUCGAUGGUAAAUGGGAUUUCGGUAUAUGGAAAUACAGAAUGCUAGGACAACUAGAAAUUUAAGGUUUGGGAUCGGGGUUAGAAGAGCACUCUAAGUCAGCAAUGGUUACGGAUGAACAGGGAACUGUUGUUAACCCGAAAGUUGAUCCGAAAGCAGCUGAGAAGGAUCUGCGGGUGAGAAAUCUUUUGGGAACUUGUUUGACGGAUCAGAUUCUGAGAAAGAUAAUGCAUGAGUCUACAACUUUAGGCAUGUGAAAGGAUUUGGAAGCAGACUAUCAGACUAAGUCAUUACCAAAUCGGAUUUAUCUUAAGCAAAGUUUUGCCAGUUUCAAGAUGGAUGAGAGCAAGUCUAAGGAAGAAUAUGACGACAAAUUCUUGAAGCUGAUUCAGGGCCUCUGAAGCUUUAAGAUCACCAUAAGUGAUGAUGAUCAAGCAAUACAACUUCUAACAAGCCUUCCCACAGCAUAUGAACCAUUGGUUCAUACUCUCAAAUAUGGAACGGGAAAGCAGUUCUUAACAGUUAAGGACGUAGUUGCUUUGGCUUAUGAAAAAGAAGCUGUGCUAAGACAGAAGGGUCAGUUAACAAGGUCAAAGGGAAAUGAAGAAGGGCUAUAUGUUGAUUCAAAGAGGAAAGCAGAACCGAAGCAAGAUCACAAGAACAGCAACAAGCAGAAUAAGGGUAAAGGGAAAAAGAAGUCCAAAGGGAAAAGCAAGUUUGGACCCAAAGCCUGCUGGAUUUGUGGUGAUGAGAAUCACUGGAAGAAAGAUUGUCCCAAACGGAACAAGAACCCAAAUUCCGCUAACCUUGCCACAAAUCUGCAAGAACCGAUAGCUUUGAUGGCCAGUUUACAUGACUCGAAGGAUGAAUGGGUUUAAGACUCAGGUUGCACAUUCCACAUCACUCCGAGAAGGAGUUACUAUCAUACUUUGUGGAAUGUGAAGGAAGUAAGGUGCUUAUGGGUAACAAUACGCACUAUAUGGUUAAAGGUAUGGGAAAUGUAAAGAAUUCAGAUGGUACUGUUAUUACGUUAAGCAAGGUGAGAUACAUGCCUCAGAUGGGAAGAAAUCUUAUCUCGUAUGGUCAACUAGAACAGUCAGGGUGUAAGUACUCAAGUGGAGACUUUGAGGUGGUAUUCUACAAAGGGGAUCAGAAGGUGUUAACGGGGCAGUAUGAGCAAGGUCUAUACUAUCUUCAAGGAAGAAUCAGGAGGCCAGAGACAAAUAUUGUUAAAGCCACAAAAGACUUAACAAAGAAAUGGCAUUCAAGAUUGGCUCAUAUAGGACAGUCGUCUAUGGAUACUUUAGUGAGAAAGGGCUAUCUGAAGAAGGAAUAGGUAUCGAAGUUGGGAUUCUGUGAAGCAUUUACGAUGGGUAAAUCCCACAAGCAAAGCUUCCCGAAGAUCAAACCCACUACAAAGGAGAUUCUGGACUAUGUUCACUCGGAUCUGUGGGGCUCAUCGACAGUUACACCGAUUCUAUCUGGGAACUAAUACUUCAUGACGUUCAUAGAUGAUUUCUCCAAGAAAGUCUGGAUCUACUUUCUUAAGACAAAGAAUGAGGCCUUUCAAAAGUUUGCUGAUUGGAAGACUCUGGUAGAAAACCAAACAGGAAAGAAGCUAAAGUGUUUAAGGACCGACAAUGGACUAAAUUCUGCAAUAGGCAGUUUGAUGAGUUGUGCAGAGAAACCGGGGUUAAAAGACACAAGACUUGUCCCUACACGCUACAGCAAAAUGGUAUCUCCGAGAGAAUGAACUGAACUAUAAUGGAUAGAGUAAGAAGCAUGCUCCAAGAGAUGGGUUUAAAGGGCGAGUUUUUGGCUGAGGCAGCAUCUACUGCAGUCUACAUCAUCAACAUAUCUCCAGCGGCGUCUAUUGGGUUUGAGGUUCUGGAAGUGUUGUGGACUGGUGAAAAGCCGGAGUAUGGUCACCUAAAAUGUUUUGGCUGUAUGGCGUAUGUUCAUACAGUGCAGGAGAAGAUCAGUCCAAGAGCUCGCAUAGGCAUAUUUGUUGGAUAUGUUCAGGGAACAAAAGGAUAUCGAGUUUGGUUACUAGAAGAACAAAAGAUUACCAUCAGUAAAGACGUGGUAUUCCAUGAAGAGAGGUUAUUCAAAGAUUUGAACUUAGAAAAGGGAAAUCAGAUGGAGCAAGAAGCUACUCAUGUAGUGAGAGUCUCAUCUUCGGAAAAUAAAUCGGCUGGAGAAUCAACAGAUGUUGUAACUUCAGGGGAGGUUUCAAAUCAAAAUGGAGCUGAUCCAGACUAUGAAGUGACAGGGUAAGAGUCAGGUACAUCAGAAGAUGAUGAUAACAAUGGUUCUGAAGAUACAGGAGCUGUUACUGCAGGAAAUCUAGACAACUAUGUGUUGGCUAGAGAUCGGGUGAGAAAGGAAAUAAAACCACCAUCUAGAUACGAAGGAGCUAACUUCGUGGUGUAUGCUUUGACUGCAUCAGACACAGUAAAUAUGAGUGAUUUAUGGGAUUCAGCUAUGGACGAGGAGAUGGACUCGUUAAGCAUAAAUCACACUUGGGAUUUUUCUGACAAACCAGAGAAACAGAAGGUUAUAGGUUGCAAAUGGAUUUACAAGCUGAAACCAGGUAUACCAGGAGUGGAGAAGCCUAGAUACAAAGCAAUACAUAUUGCAAAGGGCUAUGCACAAGUCGAAGGUAUAGAUUACAAUUAGGUUUUUGCUCCGUUUAUGAAGCAUGUCUCGAUCAGGCUCAUUUUGUCAAUGGUGUCUCAUCAAGACAUGGAACUUGAGCAGCUUGACAUAAAGACGGUUUUCCUACAUGGUGUGCUGCAGGAGAAAAUCUAUAUGAGUCAACCGGAGGGCUAUGUUCAGAAAGGAUUUGAGGACAGAGUCUGUUCGUUGAAGAAGUCGCUCUAUGGUUUAAAACAGUCACCGAGAGAAUGGAACUACAGGUUUGACACAUUAAUGAUCAAGAAUAAGUACAAGAAGAGUGAGUAUGAUCUAUGUGUGUAUCUUAGGGGCUCAACAGUUGAAGACAUGGUCUAUUUUCUGCUAUAUGUGGACGACAUGUUAAUAGCAUCAAAUGAUGGAAGUGUUGUAAACAAACUAAAAGAUUCUCUCAGCAAAGAGUUUGAGAUGAAGGACUUGGGGCCAGCAAGAAGGAUACUAGGGAUGGUUAUAUUCAGAAACAUAUCCAAAGGAGUUUUGGUCUUAUCUCAGAAAGGGUACUUGAAUCAAGUGUUGAAGACGUUUGAAAUGUGGGAUUGUAAGCCAUUGUCUACUCCAAUGGGUCCACAGUUCAAACUCCAAAGUCUUACAGAGUAAGUGAUGUUGGAUCAAGCUGGUGAGAUGGAUCAGAUUCCAUACGCAAGCGCAGUUGGUAGUCUGAUGUACACCAUGGUGGGAUCGAGACCUGAUCUAGCUUACUCAGUGGGUUUGGUGAGCCAGUUCAUGGGAAAUCCAGGUAAAAGUCACUGGAGAGCAGUUCAGUGGAUAAUGAGGUACAUCAAGGAGGCUCCAAAUCUGUGUUUAACUUUCACAAAAAGGUCAGAUUUCAAAGUUAUAGGCUACUGCAACUCAAAUUAGGCAGGGGACUUAGACAGAUGCAGAUCCAUUUCCGGGUAUGUUUUUACGGUUAGUGGAAAUACUGCGAGUUGGAGAUCGUGUUUGUAGAAGGUUGUUGCCUUUGUCAACCACCGAGGCAGAGUACAUGUCAUUGUCAGAGGCAGUUAAGGAGGCGUUGUGGCUAAAGGGAAUUUGCGAGGAAAUGGGUUUCAUCCAGGGAGCUGUUGAGGUUCAUUGUGACUUGCAAAGUACGAUUUCUUUGGUGAAGAAUCACAUGUUUAGUCAGAGGACAAAGCAUGUUGCGACAAAAUAUCACUUCAUCAGUGAUAUUAUUGCUCAAGGUGAUGUAAGUGUUUUGAAGAUUCAUACAUCGAAGAACCCAGCAGAUAUGUUAACCAAAAUUCUGCCUGGUAGUUCUUUCGGAAGGUGUUUGGAAGCUCUGAAUGUCACCGCCUGAUCUUGGCGGUGAGUGCGUCAUUUCCAGGAGGUCUGGAGAUGACGAGAGUUCAAGUCCGGUGGAGACUUGAAGGUGAUUCUGGUAAUGCAGAUUCAAGUUCAUUCUAUCUCUGGUGACCAGGAGAUUGCAAAGUAUGAGGUUUAGGUUUGAAUGAAACUCGCGGUAAGAUACAAAUUGUCGAGGAAGUGAAGAUUUGUACUGCCAGGAACGAAAUUUUCUCAAGAUUCGACCGUUAAAGACCAAAGGAAAUCAGAACCAAGGUGUAGAUUUGUGAGGAUCUGGUUCGUGAUUUAGGUCGGUUCGAUCAAAUCUAGCUGGUUUGGUGUUAACCAGGUUUGAGUUAAGGUGGGCUUAGGUCCAAGUAUCAGAGUCGCAGACUUGGAGAGCUAUUGGGCUUCAAUGAUUUGGUGUUGGCCCAGACUCAUUAGACGAGGUCGUUUUAAGGAAAAAGAGGUAGCUCAACAAAUUCUAACGUUCGAGUCUUCUUCUUCCUUUUGACUUUCUCUGAUAUUAUCUGUUGUAACAAACUUUUCAAGAAUUCUCUGUACAUGAAUUAUCCAGGUUCCGUUCCUGAAGAGAGAUGUACCCAAAGAUUUUGGGGAACUCUAUACUUGCCUCGUGUUGAUCUAGUUUUUCCGCAAACACAAAGAGUGAGAGAGAGAGGAGGAGAAGUGAGAGCGAUUAGAUCAAAGAGAGUUGCGAUCGUAUCGGUAACAACUGUUUUCUGCAAAUAACGCAACAAGAAAAUGAAAUCGGUUUUGCUUCUUACAUAUUAUCACAAUAUCGACAGGGUAGAUGUGUGUGUAUACAUACCAGUGCCACUGUCAGACCAGCUUGAAGCAGCAGCUGCUCAGUUAUCGUGAAUGCUAAGCUGUCUAGUGAGCUUUGAAAGAAGAGAGGACUGUUUCUGGUCAAGGUGUAUUUGUCUUUUCACGUUCUGAUCCUCUUGAAUCAACGAUUCAAUCUUCUCAGUACCUAUCGCACUGCAGAUUAAUCCAAGAGAGAGAGAGAGAGACAAAUAAGCACCACGCCAGAGCCGUAUUAAUUAAAUGAGUAACAAAUAUACAUUAGAAAAUGGAUAUGAGACCUGAUAAAACUGUAUAACUGAUUCAGCAUGUCUUCCUUUGAUUUCUCCACUUGACAAAGAACAACGGCCUGUUGAAGCCACCACGAGGGUUAAGUAAUAAAAAAGCUUGAAUGAGAUGGGAAACUAAAGAAACAUUUACAAGAAUGCUAAACAGUUUACCUUUGGAACUUUUGUUGCUAAGCUGUUGAGACAUCCACCGCAAUUCCUAACCAUUUUAUUCUAAAAAGAAAAAGAAAAGACAAGCAGACGAUCAAAAGCAAAACCGUCAAUUACCAUGGAAACUAAACUGCAUUACAUGCAUAAACAGAGCUAUCUUCAACGUUUAGAAAUAACAAAUCUUAACCCUUUAAAAGUAUGAGUACAAAGACAACAGUUUAACUUUUUGAUCAUUUAACAGCGAGUUUUUUAAAUCAUACUUUCUCCAAUGGCCGUUUCAAGCCAUAUAGGAAAUUCAUAGUAAAGACUUUAUCAUCAUGAUAUUAAUAUUAGAUUAAGAUCAGGUACGCAGGUUUAACUUUAAAGGAGAGUGGAAAAAAUUACUGAACGAGCAGAUAGUUUACUGUAAAUGACUUUUAAAUAAACGAAAUGACUUACACUUUUUGCGCAGUAUAAGAAGAUAGUUUACUAGAGUGACUUCAAUUAGUUGGGAUGCUAUGUUUAAACAGAAUGCUUUGUUUCACCUUUGAAAGCAAAAGAAUAUAAAGAUCCAACUUGCUUUGCAGCCAAAAUAGAAGAAAAGAAGAUAGACAUUAAGUCUCCCUCAGACAUUUCAUUGAACAUCUUGUCUGCAUAAUCCACUUCCUCAAGAACACAUCAAUCAUAGUAUAUGUAAUGUAAUAUAAUGAAAUUAAAGAUAAAAUUUUAACAGUCAAAGAAAUUAAAGAUACUCUAUCAAUCAAUUAUACUCUAUGCACUCAUACAAUCGUAAUGUAAGAUAAUGAAAUUAAAGACAAAUUUUUAACAGUAAAAGAAAUACACAGCAAAUAACUCAAUAAUUGAGGCAUAACUAACUCCACUUAAGAUGAUUUACUACUAAGUUUGCUUAGAUUAUUAACGCAGUUAAUGAAGCAACAACAAGAUCUUUUGUGUGAGAAAUAACCUGAAACACUCUUUUGAAGAAUUAUUUAUUCAGAUGUAUAUCUCUUCAUUCUCUCGUACCCCUCGCAGGUCUCUCACUUUUUAAUGAGUUUGGAAAUGUCGAAGUACUUUUUGUAAUUUUCUAUGGAAGAAAAUUAGAAAUAGAAAUUCAGCCAAUGAUAAUUAAGCAUUGAUGAACCAAUGAAAAGCGGUUUACUAAAUUUCAACCAAUAAGAUAUAAGCACAACUAGCCAAUCAGGAGGGUGAAGACGAAUAUUAGGCGCCAAAAAUUUAUCCAAUCAGGAAGAGAUCAGGAACAGGGUUUUGUGGACCAUCUUUGACCAGCUUCCUCUCCCAGCGAUCCCGACAGAGAGAACGAGAGAUCGUCGAGUCCUUCUUGACAUUUUGCUGCACUGAUCCGACAUUGAAAGCUAAUCGAGGUAAUUGACAUUUCUGUGGUUGAAUUAUAUUACCUCGUUUUGAUUUUGGGAAGUCGUUGCCAUAGAACCACUAUUGGGGAUUAAAUUCGAUUAUUGAAUAGGGAAUUGUAGACUAUGGAAAUGGCGAUUGGUUGCUAAUCGGAUGGGUAUUUAGUGGAUUGUAGGUUUAGAUGUUAUACAGCAGUAAAUGGGAGUUAGAUUAGAGUAUUUUCUGGGAGUGAGACGAUGAGAGAGAGUAACAAUUGGUAUCACUUGCUUACAACUGGAAACAAGUGGAAACAUGGUAUCACUUGCGUACAACUGGAAAAUCCAAUUUUUAUGCAGUUGAUUAUGGUGUAUGUGUUCAGGUGAUAAUGAUUACAAACUUUGAGAGGGUAAGUUCAAUUGAUAUCAAUUACGGGGGGUUGCGUUUAAGUAAUGGUGGAUUAAAUAAUGGUGUAUUUGCUAUUUACACAGGCAACUGUUCAGCAGAACAACAUCAACAGAAUGUCCCGGUGAUAGAGGAAGCUGAUGAUGAUAAUGUUGACGAGAGAAAAGAUGGUGAUGAUGUAACACGUGACAAUGGAGAAAGUGGUGAUGAUGUAUCACGUGACAAUGGAGUAGAUGAUGAUAAAGCAAAGUUGGAUAACGAGGAGGGAGAAUACAGACGGUUUGAUUUUGAUGAUGGUCCCCGUGCUGAAGUAGAAACACAACAUUUUGAAUGGGAUGAUGGUAUGAAUCUGAGAUAGGGCAACGAUUUGCAUGUAAACAAGAUUUGAUAGAUUUAUUGUAUAGAGCUUCACAUCAGAAUUGUUUUGGUCUGAAUAUAAAAGAAUUCAGAUAAGAAGCGAUACGUGGUGAAAUGCGGUGAAACAGGGUGUAAUUGGUAUUUACGAGCUUGGAAGAAUGCGAAUACACCCUGUUUUUCUGAUAUAGUAUACCGGAAGAUGCAUAGUUGUUCUCGGGCCAGUGCGAGUACAAACAGCAAACAAAGGAAAGGAACACCAGGAUUAGUAGCAUCUAUUGUUAAGGAAACGUAUCCAGGUCGAUUAGAUACACCAACUCCUCACGAUGUCAUGGUUAUGGUUAAAGAUAAUGCUUCUAUGAGUGUGUCAUAUUCUACCGCAUGGAGAGGAAUACAGAAAGCUAAAUCUCUGAUUCGUGGUUAUUCUGAAGACAGCUAUAGAGAUCUGUACUCGUAUUUGUACAUGCUAGAGCAGGUGAAUCCAGGUACAAAACACAAUGUGUUACUGGACGGACAACGAAGAUUCAAGUUCUUAUUUGUCACUUUGGGAGCUUGCAUUGACGGGUUUGCAGCAAUGAGGAAAGUGGUAAUUGUUGAUGCAACUUUUUUGAAAGCCGGAAUGGGUUGUCAGCUAGUCUUUUCUGCUUGUCAGGAUGGUAAUCGUCACCAUUAUCCGAUUGCUUUUGGAGUAAUUGAUGCAGAAAAAAAUGACAGUUAUGGCUGGUUUUUCAGGGAGUUGAAAACUGUUAUACCCGAUAGUUCUGAAUUGGUUAUUGUUUUUGACAGAAAUGUAAGCCUCAUCAAUGCAGUAGCUGAGGUUUACCCGGAGCUAAACAUGCGUAUUGCAUCUGGCAUCUGAGCCAGAAUGUGAAAUUGCAAGUUUCAAGGGAUAGAGAAAUAGUUGCAGAGACAUUCAUGGAGUGCCCAAGACAGUAUACAAAGGUCGAGUUUCUUGAUCAUUAUACGAGGAUGGCAUUAAAGUAUCUAGAAAGGGGUGUAGAAAUAUGGAAAUGGGCCAGGUGCUAUUUUCCAGGAGAUAGGUACAACCUAGAGACUAGUAACGUUGUGGAGUCCUUGAAUAGUAUAUCUAAGGAUGCAAGGAGGCUAUGCUUAUUACCUAUGGUGGAUAAGAUUGUUGCGAAGUUGUGUGAGUGGUUUAACAAGCAUAAGAACGAGGCUGCUUCUACGCCACCAGGACGUAAACUGGUGGCUUUUGUUGAGAAUAUAUUUCACAGUAGAUGUGUUGAAGGGAAUAGGCUAAGUGUCACCGAGUUAAACAUCAGUCAGAUUGAAUACAGUGUAAUCGGAAGCGAUGGGAUGAAUUACAUGUUGAACUUGAAAAGUAAAACUUGCUCGUGCAAGUGGUUUGAUAUAGACAAGUAUCCUUGUGUGCAUGCCUUAGUCGCACUUGAGAAUUACAUGAAGCGGCCAGACAGAGAAGAGGAUAUAUACGUAGAGGACUUGUGUUCAAAGUAUUAUUUAACCGAGCAGUGGCCUUUUGCUUAUAACAGAACCAUCUAUCCAGUCUCACACAAGUCACACUGGGUUGUUCCCGAUGAUAUAAAGAAAUUUAGUGCUUUCCCCCGGAACAUGAGAAAAAAAGGGGGGCAAAACAGCAGAAAAGGCAUCCAUCCGUUGGAGAGCGUCGACCGGAGUCUGAGAAAGUGAAGAUGAGUAAUAAGCGUCGCCCUGAAUCUUUUGGAAUUUAUUCCUAUUUUACUGCAGGUCAAAAUACUGGAGCUGAAAAUGCUGCAGAUGCCUCUGAAAGUACUGCAGGUGCCUCUGAAAGUACUGCAGGUGAUAACGUGGUUUAGUUACUCUGAACUCCUAUAAUUGGAGAUGUGAUGUUUUACUCGGGAUUACUUGGUACAACUACAGUCGACUAUUGUUUUCCUAUAAUUUGGAAAUGCCCACUGUACUCCUCGGGAUUACUCUGAACUCCUAUAAUUUGGAAAUGUGAUGUUUUACGAUUUUUGAAAAAAAAAAGAAACAAAGAAAUAAAAAAAUGCAACAAAGAAAUACAAAUGACGUGUCGUUUCGUUUUCCAACAGCGACUGCAAGAGUUUUUAAGGAGUUGUGCCUUCUUUUAUUUAACAUAGACCCAAGAAGUAUCAGAAACACAUUUCAUCUCCUAUGGCAAAGCAAGUAGGGAUUUAUGAUUUGCCCAUCGAGAUGAAAACCAAAAUACUAAAGAAGAUAAUCAGUAAUUGCAUACGAGAUUACUGUUCUGCUAAAGUGGCCCCUAAGGAUUUUAACGAAAUCUCCAAGGAUCCAAUCUUCUUAUGGAGCAUGGAUCUGUUAAGCGUGCCCACACUUUGGGUCUUUGAUAUGGCAUGGAUGAGAAUGUUGAAGGACAGAUGUUUGGUAGCAAGUAAUCCAACGACUUUAUUUGAAAGAGGUCUUUCAAUUAUUUUCUGUGACCGUAAUAUCGAGGCAGGGAUGGCUAUGAUUAAGGAAUCAGCAGAAGCGGGAUGCUCUAUGGUUAAAUACUGCCAUAAAAUGCUUGUCCUCAUCAUGUCCAGAUGCGAAGUGAGCUUAACAUCUGUGACAGAUAUUACCCGGGCGGAGGCAGUACAAAUGCUUCAAACAAUGGAACAUUCAAGCUUGAGGGGUUUCAACGCUAACCCUCUACAAGUGUUUGAAGAAAAUGUUACUUUGGUUUUUCACAAAGCUUGUAACUUGCACUGCGGAAACAUGGACUUACCCCACAGUUGUCUUGUUAUAUACGGAUCCAUGGAGGAACCUACCAAUAUGUGCGAUACUUGCUACUGGACAAUGCAGACGGCAAAAUUCAGUCAAAUUAUUACGAGGUUCGCAAAGGAGUGGCCAAAUGAUACUAUCACUGUUCUUCGCGAAUGAGUGGCAUAUCUAUUGUUCUCUCUUUCAAAUCGAUGUUCUCAGAAGUUCAAUAGAAAAUCGAAGUGUUUGUUGUUACUUAGACUAUUUAUUUUCUAUUAGACAAUUUGUAAAUAAUGCUAAAAAAUAAAAUAAAAUGAUGUGUUGCUUUUAAGUGUAUCAACAAUGUAAAUGUUUAGUUUUGGUCAGGAAAACUUGGUAUAACUACGAUCUAGUUAUAAUGUUUAGUAUGGACAUUUGUUGUUCUGUCGAACACAAAUAAUUGUGAGCUGGGAGGAGAAGCAAGAGCGAAAAAGUUGUGAAAAAAAAGAAAAGUGAAAGUAGUACUUUAAGGUCAGAGAAUGCCGUGUAAAAGUUAAAACCCGAUGGAAUGUUCGUCAGAAGAAGAGAAAAGUGAUCAUGUGUCAGGUAAAAUAUUAUUAUAAUAAUAGAAAAUAAGAUUAAAAGAGACCCGUUUCCAGAUGACAUCGUUUUGAAGAAGUUAACCAACCAUUAACCACCAAUAGACCAAUUUAAACGAUUUCAUAAUUUGGAGAUGGCAAAAUACGACCACGAUAAUAAUCAGUAUUUUAAAAUAUGGUCGUUUUCAUGCUAACACUUAUCAGGGAUUAGUAAACAAGGUUUUAAUUACUAAAAAUAAUGAAGAAAUAAUACGAAUCUCACCACACCCGACACUUAAGUGUCAAUCUCCUUCUAUAGUCACAUUGUCAAGCUUAGGCCAUCAAUGAUUAAAAGAAUACGUAUCAUUCUUUUCGAGUUGAUGAACAAGUUGAUAAUUUGAUUUUAUAACCAAUUAUGAAACGUAUAACCAGAAUAUAUUCUUUCCAAUUCAGUAUUACUGCGAAUGCAGUAUAUCCAACAAAAGUACAACUAUGUGGACAAUGAGUAUAACUGGAAAAUAAGGCACAACUACUUUUUAAAUUCCCAGUUACAAUAAACGACAUGUGUCCAUAAUAAAAUAAAUUAUGUCAGCCACACGUGAGUUAUGACAGGUGUUCUUUACCUGAACACAUGUCUAUGUGUCAGGUAUAAUACUAUUAUAAUAAUAGAAAAUAAGAUUAAAGGAGACCCGUUUCCAGGUGACGUCGUUUUGAAGAGGUUAAACAACCCUUAACCACCAAUAGACCAAUUUAAACCGAUUUUAUAAUUUGGAGAUGGCAAAAUACCACCAUGAUAAUAAUUAGUAUUUUAAAAUAUGGUCGUUUUCAUGCUAAAACUUAUCAAGGACUAGUAAACAGGCUUUCAAAAUACUAAAAAUAAUGAAGAAAUAAUACGAAUCUCACCACACCCAACACUUAAGUGUCAAUCUCCUUCUAUAGUCACAUUGUCAAGCUUAGGCCAUCAAUGAUGGAAAGAAUACGUAUCAUAUUUUUCCUCAAAUUUUGUUUGAUGAAUAAGUUGAUAAUUUGAUUUUAUAACCAAUAAUGAAUCGUAUAACCGGAAUAUAUUCUUUCAAAUUUAGUAUUACUGUGAAUAUGGUAUAUCCACCAAAAGUACAACUAUAUGGGCGAUGUGCAUAUCUGGAAAACAAGGCACAACUACGUUUUAAAUUCCCAGUUACAAUUAAUGACAUGAGUUUUCACUUGAACACGUGUUUUAUUGGGUGGAACAAAUAGACUCCACUACAAUUAUUUAUUAUUUUCCGGGUUUAUCCACGAAACUAAAAUUUGUUUUUCCCCCCAAAACAUACAUUUCCAAUUUUGAGUUCCCCCCCCCCCAAAACAGACAUUUCCAAAUUUGAAUUUCCCCUCAACAUCAAAAUUCAAUAAAAUAUCUGGGUUUAAGCACUAAACAACCAAAACACAAAACACUCAGUUUUUUUGCAAAAUAAUAAUUUUUUGCGAGAAUGCCAAGUCUCGGCUCGUCGUCCGACUCGGAAAUUUCAAGUGGGAGCCCUCCACCCGAAUUGUACGAAGAUUCUCAAAUUCCGCGAUUCUGUUAUUGUCAUCGUAAACUAAUCAUCAAAACUUCCCACACCAUUUUGGAUCCAGGUAGAAGAUUCUUCGCUUGCAAUAAGGAAUAUGUAAGGCAAGUUCAGCUGUUGAUUGCUUUUAAUUUCGUACCAAAAAUAUUUAUACUGUUUGUGUCUUGUAGAAUCCCGGAUGUCAUCUCUUCAAGUGGUGUGCUGAGGCGAUGCUAGAAGAGAUUGCAGAUGUUCGGCAUGAUUUGACCGAGAUGCAAGGCUGGAGUGGUUGGACUAGAACCAUGGACCAGAUUCACUCAACGGAGAUCUCCCAGCUACAGGAAUCGGUAAACAACCUGAAGGAGGAAAUGGUUGAGGCAAUGAGGUCUAAUGCUCUCCUUUAUGAGGUGAUUUGUGACUGGGUUUUGAAGGAAAUGGAUAGGGAAUUAGAACAGAUGCGACGAACUAAGAUAUUUAAGGAAAUUAAGGACAUGGUUGUUCUAUCUGUUCUUGCUGUGGCCUCGGUUUCUUUAACUAUCUACCUGUUCAAGUAGUUAUGAUUCAUGGUUCUACUCAAGACUUACUCAAUUUUCCGAAAAACAUGUGGUUUCACCAAAUGAUACUGAGUAUUACAUAUUUUUGAUUUCGGAAAAACAUGUGGUCACACCAAAUGAUACCGAGUAUUACAUAUUUUUGAUUUUUGGGAAAACAUGUUGUUACACCAAAUGAUACCGAGUAUUACAUAUUUUCAAUUUUUGAGAAAACAGGUGGUUACACCAAAUGAUAAUUUGUAUUACAUAUUUUCGAUUUUCAGGAAACAUGUGGUUACACCAAAUGAUACCGAGUAUUACAUAUUUUUGAUUUUCGGGAAAACAUGUGGUUACACCAAAUGAUACCGAGUAUUACAUAUUUUCGAUAUUCGGAAAAACAUGUGGUUACACCAAAUGAUACCUAGUAUUACAUAUUUUAUGUAUCGGCUGAGAUAAUAUAGUGGAUAGAAUAAUAAUUUUUUUGUAAAUAAAUAUAUUACAGACAUAAUUUUUUAAUAAUAAAAUAUUGUACAACGGAAAAUAGUAAAACAUACAAUUCAUUAUUUUAUUCUGAACAUGCCAUGAACUCGGUCAUCAAGCGGACCUUCUUCUUGAACCUCUCUGGUUCCAAAACGUACAUGCGUGCGACGUCUGCGAGGUAGUUGUCCUCUUCCUCCACCUUAGGGUGAAGCAGCAUGUCAUAGAGCGUUUGGAGGAGUUCCUUCACCAUCGUUCCAACCCUCCAGGUAGCGGUGACGAGUAGCGGAUGGAAGACGCGGGGUUUGUCGAUGUUGGGGUACAGAAUCGGCGUCUUCCACGACACCAUUGGUGGCCUGAAAGGGUACUCCGGUGGGAAACGGAUAGAGAUGAAAAAGAUGCCCCCUUCGAAUGGACUACUAGGGGGGCCCAACAGCGUUGCUUGUCAUUCGUAAAUGUCUUCCGCCACUGGCCCUGCACUGAAUCCACUCGCCGGAAACCGCAGCAACUCCCUCAGAUGAGUCAUGAUCCACGCCUUUAGGGGCCAUUUUGAAGUGAUAAAGAGAGAAACGAUAGCACUAAAUAGAGAGAAGAGGAUUUAGAAGAUAGAUAUGAGUGAGAGAGAGAGAGCGAGUUAUAAUUAUAGAAAGAGAAAGGAAAACCCUAGGGUGCGACUCAUAUAAUAAAUACCCUUCAACCGUUCAGUCUUAUCAUGCGGAGAAGUUAAAAGUCACAUCUUAAUCUCCCCUAAUAAACCCGAAAAUAUUUAUUUACUUAAUGUAUUGAUAAAAAUCAAAUACAGUGUUGAUAGUUGUACCUGUCUUGCGGCAGUUAAUGAAAGCAUUAAAAGCCGUAAGACUGGUACAACUACCAACACUAAUGCAACGAUUAAACAUGCGGCGUAAUUAUCUUUUAGACAGUUAUUAUUAUAUAUUUAUUUAUUCACUUUUACAGAGAUAAAUAAAUGCGUCGUUCUCUCUUUCCUCGUUUUUCGUCCAUGCAACGCGUCUAUACAAUAAAUAAAUCCUCUCACGUGAGUAAAUUCUGAGUAGACAAAUAUCCAGAGAACAUUGUCUAUACACUAAAAAUAUUUAACAAUGUUUAGUAGUCAAGUAGUCUUCCCCAAAAAACUUGAAAUUCGUGAAAAGUGAACACUAUUGCCUACUCUAUAAAUAGACACUUGAGAUAUUGUACUUCUAGAAUUUUCAAGUAGUCUCAUCGUUUCUAACAAUACAUAAACAAAAUGGAGAAAUUAGAUAUAAAAAAAUAUGAUGAGAAUGGUCUGCUAAUCAUCAACCCACCACAUUUGAUAAUGAGAUUUGGUGUGGUGGAACCUAAGUCGCCACCUUCGCCAACCGAUUCUGAGAUCGAGCAAGCAGAGCUGUGGGAACAAUUUCAUCUCCUCAUCAAAUCAAAUGAUCAAGUCAAGCAAAAUCUUCCAAAGGUAAUAUAUUCUCUCUGUUUAAUGGUUUAUAAAUAUGUCUUGAUCAUGAGUGAAAAUUUAUAUAUAUUUUUUUCUUGAGGAAAAAGACAAAGACAUCUCAGUCGAUAAAACUCCCCACACACGUAGUACAAAACCAGAACACGAAUUAAUUCUGAAUCUGGAGAUAGGAUUGAAGUGCAUACAUUGCGGAUUCGUGGAAAGAGAAAUUCGAAGCAUGGACACAUCUGAAUGGGUAAGUAAUUAGUCAUUUUUUUGGUUAUAACAAAUCUCAAAUAAGUUGAAAUCUAUAUGACUGGAUUAUAAUCAGUUGAUUUUGUUUGGGUUUUUAAAUUUAAUUUGUAGACAUAACUCAUGAUUAAUUAAUAAUAUUGAAUACAAAUUUAGGCUAUAUGAUUUUUUAAACAUAAAUGAGAUUUUCUACAUUUCUAUUCCAAGGAAGAGAUGAAGAAGAUAAAGAGGAAGAGGUCUGGAAUGUCAUCGAAAUUCACAUGAAGCCUCUUUUUUUUAUGAACAAUUCAUAUAUGUAAUCCUUUUUUUUUUCUAAGAACCUUGAUGUUUAAUUUUAUGACAUUUUAUAAUUUAUCUUUGGAGAAAUUAUUUAUGGUUGGUUGAAAAUUUUCAUCAGAAAAAUUGACGAUAACUUGAUAAUAUGUAAUAUGCCAACAUUUUAGUAAUCCAGACAAAUGUUCAAAUAUCGCAGUAUAUGAGUAAAAAAUCAUACGUAUAUUUUCAAUAACGCAUUAAUGAGAGUAGCAGUUAUUCCUCUCUCUCAUAUGGUCGCGUUUACUCGACGUGACUACUCACUUCCUUCAUUUUCUAUUAUUUAGGUUCGCAAAGAAGUUCUGAAAUCCAUUCUACUUCUUCAUUACUUUCCCAAAUCACUUUUUCCUUCCUCCUCUCUCUUAGGGUUCAGAUUUUCUUUUUAUAUUACAAAAUCCAUCAUUUUCUCUUAGGGUUUCAGAACUUUCACAAAACUCGGCCUCGACCACUUUCAUAUAUAAAUCCAUGGCACAGUACUCCUACCUACUAGCCCUACCAGACGAACUACUGGAAAAGGUUCUAGCAAAGUCGGCUAACACAAUUGGUGACCUAAUACGGAUUCGCUCGAUUUGUCAUAGGUUCAACGACUGCACCAGAGGUCCUGGCUUCUACGCUGAAGUUGAUCUCUUUAAUAUGGAUCAUCCAGUGGAUCAAAAUGUCCAUCUCAUCAUUGAUGUCUUCAGAGAGUUCUAUGAUUCACGAAAUCCAGGCAUGCUUUUCAUGCGAGGUAUGCAACUCUUUUUUCAUCGACACGAUUUUGGAGGGAUUCUACUGAUCAAGGAUGCGGCGGAUAGAGUUUACACGCGUGCAGUAUAUGUCUACAUGAUGUUCAUGAAACUUGUUAUGGAACAUCCCGAGGAUGAUGAGUACCUCAUCAAACUAAGCCGGAAAACAAUAAGGAAGUGCACCCGCGACCUUGUUGAAGAAGUAUAUCUUGGUUGGCUAAUAUGGUUGCCAGAGAUGUUCGAUGAAAGCCACCAUCGCUUUUUACCGCGCCCCAAUACUCUUAUCCACUGUCCGUGCGGUACAAUUAACCGAUGAGAGCGUUGGUGAAAUGAUGAGUAUAAACCACGAAACAUCUGCGACUACUGCUUCUUAACUCGCGAAUGCGGAAGGUUCUUCCUAUAUGUGUACCGGGUAGUUAGGGUUUUUCCUGAUAUGGUCAACUGGUGAAUGUGUCUGGUGUUUUAUGUCUUAUGUUUUUUGUUUUUUGUACUUCCUUAUGUUCUGGAUUCUGUAUGUGCACAAUUCGUAAUGUUUUGUACUCCCUUAUGUUAUGUACAAACAUUAUUCUAAUAAUUUUAACCCGAACUGUUUAGGCCUAGUAUUCCACAUAUAUAAGUGGUUACACCAAAUAAUACUAAGAUGGUUACACCUAAUAAAACUAGGCUAUACCAUUUAUACGUGGUUUCACCAAUAAUACCAAGUUUUCCCAAUAUUUGGUUUUCAAUAAUCCAAAAUCAAUAAUAAAAAUAGAAGUACACACCAUAAUACAGUUUAAUCCAAAUACAAAUACAUAUAUCAAAUGUCAUAGGAGACUUAACGUAUCUGCCUUGUGUUUGGCCCUAGUUUCGAUUGCUCUUGUUUCCGUUUACCUGCACCCACUUAUGCGUUCACAACGUCAGCACCGUCUGGUUCUACCUACACAUACCAAGUAAUACAACAUAGUGUUACCACGAAAUAUUAAGUAUUACCAAAACAAUGGAUAGUACGGAGAUCGGGCUACAAGCUGCUCCACCUCUUUCAGCUUCGGCUCAUUCAUCUCCGCCUCUUUCUGCUCUGCCUCCUUCUGCUCCGCCUCCUUCUGCUUGGCCUCCUUCUGCUCCGCUUCCUUCUGCUCCAGCUCCUUCUGCUCCGGCUCCUUCUGCUUCUUCUUCGGCUUCUGCUUCAGCUAUUUUUUCUUCGGCUGUUUCUGUUUCCCGCUUUCUCAGUUGUCACCAGACUUUCAAGUUUCUCUCCACCUUGUUCAUGUUCAUCUUCUACAUCAUUUUCGAAAAACUUCUCCUCCCUCAUCUCCUGGUCCUUCGCUUUUUAUUCUUGUCUCUUUUACAUAUUGUUCUACAGAGCAGAGUCUUGUAUCAAAGCCAUCCAUUCGGACACUGAUUCGGAGAAACUGAGCGUACAUACUCUUCUGCAAGCUCUGAAGCUGUUCCACCAAUCCAAGAGGCGCCACCUUCUCCGUCCCCACAUUAUUCUCAGCCGCUGCAGGAUGGUUUACCCACUCCUUAUUAUCUCGGACAUCAACAUCGAUCUUGCAUAUCUCUUUCCAGAAUAUCGGCUUCUUUUCCUCAACUAAACGCCUCGUCCAAUUUUCAGGAACGAUAUCACCGAUAUCUUCCUCUUCAUUCCUCUCCAUGACUCCAGCAAGCAUAACUACUUCAUCCUCGGAUGUUUGCAAUAUACUCUCGAUGACCCUAGUGUUACCCAGUGUUUCAUAGAGUUUCGACAAAAGGAAAUCUUUUAGGGUGAAUGGUUGGAACUUCUGCCUGCACAUCCGGGGACAAUCACUCUCUGCUCCUCUAACAUCUUCUCUGUAUUUGUUCUUCAGACAUGGGAUGGCCUCAAAGGCUAGCAACUACACAUAAACCCAACAAAUUACAUUUAAGCUCAUAGUAUUACAUAGUUACAAAUUCUUUAUAAUGUGACAUACCUCCAAGAGAGUAACAAAGCUUGGAAAUGUCCAGGCAUCUGUUUCGACGACCCCAUUGAAAUGCCUCAUUGUAUGCUCAAUCUCCUUCAUAUUUACAUCGAAUGAAUACCUACCCCAAGGAAACCUUUUACAAGCCUCGAGAUCAUCCACAAUCAUCAGGAAUAAGGGGUCAACAGAUGGUGCUCCCUUGCCGGUUUUCGUUUUCCCACUAAUUAUAGAGGAUAAGAAGUAGACGACACACAUCUUCAACCGAUCAGGAUUAACUAGCUCUCGCAUUGACUUUAGCUUUUUCUCAACAGCAGCAAGGGAGGGGACGGUUUCCUGAAAAUAUCUAUUCUUAAACGAAAAACUUCCUAUGCUCUCUUAGUCCUCUAGGUACGGGAGACAGUUUAAUCCACACAAAAUGGCAUGCUCUCUAAGGGAAUAGCGAAUUGGUACGCCAUUCACUACAACCAAGCUUCCCUCUUCUUAUUUGUGUUUGCUGUCCGAAGAAGAAGCAACCACAUUCCCAUCAUCUUGUAUGUUGUGUCCUCAUGCAUGGCCCUAUGCAUAUGCCAAAAGUGCUUGAACUGUAGGUGUUCUGUAAACCAUAACAGCUCAUGGGGUUCAAGGUCUAGAGACUCCAAUUUCGAAACAGCUUUGUGGAUAUAACAUCUUGUUCCCAGCUUUAUUGCAUUAUGAUACUCACUGGGCUUGACAAAAAUUCUCAAGGGUGGCAAUGACUGGUUCUCCUCCUCCUCAACCUCAGCCUCAGUUCCCCUCCACAACACUAUCUGAUUAUUACCCGUCUCUGGUUCGGAAACUCCUUCUACCAUUUUCUCCUGCGACGAUUCGGAAUCUGAGUACAAUUCUGGUGUAGCAUGUCUAAACACUCUUUCGUUUCCUAAAUCCAUGACUCCUAUUUUGUAAUUACCAACCGAAUAGAGAACAUAUAAAUCAUAUUUUAGAUUCUACACAAAACCGAGUUUAAAUCUACAAAGUAAUCUAGAUAGAAAUUAGAAAUCAGAGGACGAAGACGAACGAACCUGAUUUAGCGAGGCGUUGAUUCAAGACAGGCAGCAGCAAAUCACUCGUAGUUGUCCCAGAAAAUACUAUACGAAGACGACGACGAGAGGACAAUUUCGAAAUUUGAAGUUUUUUUAAAAAAAAUUAGGGUUUGACUUACCACAAUUUUGACCGAAACCCGAUUUCUUCGGAUUCAACCCGAUAUGACAGACUGGGUGUGGAUCUUCGUGGUUGUGUUAGUAAAUAUGAAACUUUAGUAAGGACCUCCAAGUAUUUGACCGCUUUUCUCCCUUUUUCUUGCUUUAAAAUAAAUCGAAAACAAAUUAAAUAUUAUGAGGAGGAGAUUUGAGAAUUUCUUUAAUGUGGAAGGAGUACGCGAGAUUAUUCCUCUUUUUGUGUCUAAUGAUCCUCUUCCUGAUUUUGUUAACGUUGAAAUAAUUGUUUGGACGGUGCAAGCAGCAAUUGCGACGGUGGUAGACCAGAGGCUCCUGUGACCAUGGAUCCUCCUCUGAAGACGUGCAGCUCAUUGUGGCAAUGGAUCCUUAUGGUGGUGACGGUGGUCGACGUGAGCUCUCUCUUCCUUUCUCUCUUCUAUUCUUCUUCUCUUCUCUCUCUCUUUUCUUCUCUUCUCUCUUUUUUUUUCUAUUACGGCUGCAUUGUUUUUCUUUUCGUUUCUUAUUAGUUUCACUAGGUUUGGUUUAGAUAUUUUGGUUUAGAGAGAAAUUAAAAUAUGGAUUUGGGUUUAAUGAGUGUUAAAAAGAAUUGGGUUAGUGUUUAGGAUUUUUUUAAAAAAAAAUUUAAAAAAACAAAAUUGGGCCAAAAUCUGAUGUUUGGGAUGUCAUAAACUCCCCCAUUUGAAAUGAAUUCGUCCUCGAAUUGAAGGAUUGCUUCUCCCCCACUUGAUUAUCGACUAUACAUUGGAGUGUCGUGCAGGUUACUUUUAUUGUGACAUCCCAACGCUUCUGUUGCGUGACUCUGAUAAUUUGACUUUUUCUGGUUUCUUUUUCCGCUGCACAAAGGUCUUGACAUCUUGAAAGAACACUUGGAUCUCAUCUUCAACCUAGAGAAUAAAAGAAGACUGACUUAGUCAAGUUCGUUGCUUCCCUACUCUCUAACCCUUAAAAGAAAUUUUUUUUUGUGUAAUACGAAAUUCAAAACUUUAUUUUUCCUUGAAAUCCGAAAUUUAAUUUUUUAAAAAAAUUAAGAAAUUUGAAAUCAGAAAUUAAAUUCUCUUUUUUAUUAAAAACCGAUUAAAAAUUAUAACAAGUCCCAAAACGGCUCCCGGGUCAGAUCCGGUUUGGCUAACCUUACGCUCUGAUACCAAAUUGAGACAUUCUAAUCUCGCAAAUAUAACCUAACUUAAAUUACACUCAUUUAACAGCUUUUAAAAAGAAUAACAAACCUAUUAAAUAUUUAUUUAUUAUCAAAAAUCCUUUAUUAAAAAUACAUAAAUCGAGAACUCGAAAAGCCUUAAACAUUUGAAGAAAACUAAAGAAAAUAUAAUUAGGAUUCUUAUUAAAAUAAUUACAGAAUUGCGCCCAUGACUCCCGGAUAUAAAACCACAACGACCGCCAUAAGUACUACACUUUGGUCUCACCUGAAAAAUAAGAAAAUGGUGAGUAUUCGGUAAAUAAUAUUCAAUGAGGGUGUGCUCUUGGAACACACACGAUUCUUUGACAUAUUAUUUGAAAUAGCAAUAAUGUAUAUACAUAAUAUAAGCAUCAAACUCAAACAACAAUCAACCUAGGAUAACUAAUUAUAUUAUAUAAUAUAUAUGAUCCUAAUAUUUCUAAAAAAAUACAAUAAUUCAAUCAUUCAAAACAAUCAACCUAAAGAGUCUACUUCACAUUUCCAAAGAACUUCCGUCAAUGGUACUCAUUCUCUGUCACCACCCGUUCUGGGCUUGUCAAGUUAUCGGUGCCACCACCCUCAACAGAGCUUGACUAUGGUUCGUCAGCCCUUUCUCGAUCACUACAACUUCACAAUAUUCAGUCAUUCACUGUAGGCCGUCAAACAAUUUAUCGAUCACUACAACUUCACAAUAUUCAGUUCUUCGUUGUAGGCCGUCAGUAACCAAAUAAUUACUAUUCCAACUAGCAACUAAAUGUCUUACAAUCCUAUUAUCAUAUUUCAAUAUUACUCAUUAUGCAUCAUCAUCAAUAAACAAUCAACAACCAAUAUCAAUCACCUUUUAUCAAAUACCAAUUAUCAAUCAUGUUUAAUACUUACACUAAGCAUACACACAUUACUAAAUCAACUAAUAUAUCUUAGAAAUCCACAAACUUGUCCUCACCUUAAUUUAAAAGAACUUGGAAUAGCGCUUGGAGAAUAUAGCGGCCAAAAGCGGUUGCAGCUGGAGAGCACCUCUUCUUAAGAACACUUCAGAGCCGCCUCGGAAACACGCUCAUAACUCGAUAACCAACCGUUGAAAUCUCAAUCCCACCGUUGAAACUAAAGACCUAUGUACUGUGAAGCCCUCCACCAGAAUUCAGUUUGAUCGGACUUAAAACGAGUCGUCCACAGUUCUUUGAAUUUGCUGCGUCGGAGCAGAUUUCUGGGUUGCAAAAUGACGCAGAUGAUUCUUGCGCAGGAAGAAAGCUUCGUUGUGGCCUGACCGUAACUGCAAUGGCGAUGCCGUUUUCUCCUACGGCUUUGUUGCAAUGAGAUAUUUCCAGAAGCACCUAGACCACGGUUUAACUCUCUCUGAAGCAACGGGAAUCUUCCUCACAAAACCCCACCUCGGAACUGUGUCUUCUCCCUCAACUCUCUUCUUCUCCAGCAUCUCGGUGCAAGCAGCAAUUGCGACGGUGGUAGACCAGAGGCUCCUGUUACCAUGGAUCCUCCUCUGAAGACGUGCAGCUCAUUGUGGCAAUGGAUCCUUAUGGUGGCCACGGUGGUCAAGUGAGCUCUCUCUUCCUUUCUCUCUUCUAUUCUUCUUCUCUUCUCUCUCUUUUCUUCUCUUCUCUUCUCUUUUCUUCUCUCUCUUUUUUUUUUCUAUUACGGCUACGCUGUUUUUCUUUUCGUUUCUUUUAAGUUUCACUAGGUUUGGUUUUAGAUAUUUUGGUUUAGAGAAAAAUUAAUAUAUGGAUUUGGGCUUAAUGAGUAUUAAAAAGAAUUGGGUUAGAAUUUAGGAUUUUAAAAAAAAAGUUUAAAAAAAAAUUGGGCCAAAAUCUGAUGUUUGGAAUGUCACAUUACCACUCAAAACCUAAACAGUAAGGAAUGUUUUCAUUUUGUGUUUUUGAUGUCAUGUUUGUCUUUUUUUUCUUCUGUUUAUGCAUGUAUCAAUGAAAUUGGAGGUGCUAAUUCGGAUGAUGUUUCUCAAAAACAAACCAAUGAGCUAUCUACAGCUCUGAUACAAUAUCAAUAUCAAUAUCAAGAAGGCUCUAUGUCAAUGAUCGAAUAAAUUCAUGAGUAUGUUCACUCAAAGCAGCAAACAUACAUAAAAUUCUGCAAUUAACAAAAUUCACCGCUUCAUCGUAACGGCCUCGGUAUUCUUUCUGCGGUCUAGUAAUAGGACAAUAUCUCCACAUUUAUUGCAUAAUCUUCUGGAAAUUAGCAAUUUAGAGGAAUGAAUGCCUCAAAUAAAUAAGCAGCUCUUCAUAGCUCAUAUGCAAAACAUGGUAAACAGAACUCAUAUUUCUAUCGUUGAAGCUAGUCCCUCCAACAAUGUGAGAUCUAAUACUCUCAUUUAUCAUUUCCCACUCACAUAUUGUGUAUUGCGCAGUUAACAACCCGCCUAACACCUUAAUGGCCAACGGUAGACCUCCACAGUGUUUGAUAUAUUAUCUCUUUACCCAUUUCUUCCUUUUUUGCGAGACUUAAUUAGUACCUUCCAACCAAAACAAAAUAUAUAUAUUCUUUUUUAUAUGACUCCAUAACACAGGAACAUAACGAUUUAGGAUAAUUAUAUUUUUUUCCUCCAAUCAUUUGUGUUUUAUCCAAAGGAUAACAAAAAGAGAAUUAUAAGACCAUCAUCAAUGGGAGAACCCCUCAUGAGAUUCUCAACCAAUUUUUUUUAUACAUUUUAUCUAAGAACCCCAUAACUUUAUUUAUUUGUUUUUUCUUCAUUAAUGGUAGAAUUCUGAUGAGGUUCUUAAUAAUGAAUGACUCACAUAAAUGUUAAAUUCAAAUAAAAUCAUUCUACAAAAUAACUUAACAAAACCGAAAGGUGCAGCAUGCACGUUAUCCAGUUAGAUCAACUGAAGACAGACAAAUUUGGUUUCUGAAUUUUUCCUUCGUUGAUCUAUCUAGGCCUUUUGUGUCUACUAUGUGUUUAAUAACUAGACUAACCUUACUUGGUUUUAUUCACAAUAAUUAUGGUGAAUAGUCUAAAAUAGUACAAAAUGAUGAAUUAUUUCAAACGGAGUACCGUUCUAUAAUUUCAAACGGUACCAUUCUAUAUAAUCUUUCAUAAUUAAGAUAAUAUAUUUUGCAAAAUUUAUAAUAUAAAUAUACUAUUUUGGGGGGAUUUAAACCACAGAUCUUUCUACAGAGACAUGAAAAAAUUGAAGUAUAGUCACCUCCUGGAAAAAGCUUUCGGCCAACUGUUUUUUUAGUGUUCGGUUCGAGUUAUUCAGAUUUUCGGGUUUUUGGAUUUAACAUUUAAAACCUAUUUCGAUAUUUUAAAAGUUAAGUUCAGGUUUUCUUUGGUUCUAUUCAGGUUUGGUUCGGUUUCAGAUAUCCGAAAAAUCAUAAAAUUAAAAUAAAAUUGCUUACAUUUAAAUAAAUUUGAUUAAAUUUGAUCAAAACUUAACAAAUAUAACUAAAAACUUUCAUAUAUUUAUAUUAUUUUGGAUUUCUCAAUCAUUCUAGUAAAAAAUAACUCAUAUCUAAUUUGAUAAUUAUAAUUUUAGAUUAUCAAGUUUAAAUAGAAUUAAUAUUUAGUGUAUAUAAACAUAAUUCGUUCUGAUAUUUUAUCAGUUUUGGUUGGGGUUCGGUUUUUUUUCGGAUCGGGCUCGAUUUGAUAUUUUGGAUUCGGAUAUUAUGCUCAGCGCUACUGAAAAGAACUUCUUCUUCCCUUCUUCUUCAGCAUUGUUUUUAUAAUCUCUUCGAUUUUCUUCAAUUCAAUGUUUCUUAAUUCUUCUUCUCUAAAUCAAUUAAAUCUAUUUCUCUCUUCUUCAAUUUAACUUAAGCUAUCCCAAAAAUUCCUUCAUCGAUUUGGUCUCUCUUCCUAGGCGAUUAACACUCAAGAAAUCUAAGUCAAUUUUUCUAACUCAUGUAUUAAUUUUCGAUUGAAACUCAAAAAUUUCACACUUGGAUAGAUAAUAUUCUUCUCAAUUUCUAAUAUCGCAUUUUAAUUUCACCGUUCUUCACAAGCAAAUUUAGAGAGAUGAUUCUGUUUUUUUUUUUUGCUUUGUGUGAUAAUUAGGUUUUAUUACUUUGGUAAGAUGUACUCUUAUUAAAUUAGGUUUUAUUACUUUGGUAAGAUGUAUUCUUACCAAAAUGAAACGAAACUCAAAGAUGUGUAUCUAUCAAUAUCUAUCUACAAAACACGCAAGUACAUCAUUCAUCAUAUAAGCAUACCAUAAUCGUUUCUUUUUUAUAACUAGUAAAGAAACAAGAAAACACUAGUCCCAGAAAUGAGGACCAAUCCAAACAAAAAGAAUGUGUUUUUUAUAAUUCUCCGAUAACAAUCCUGAAAAUCAAACAGGUUCUUCUAAUACCUGUUAGAUGAUCCUGGAGGUGCCGGUGGGAGCCGGUUUGGCGUGGUACGACGGUUGCUACCACCAGAACCAGAAGAAUCCUCACCGUUCUGAGCUGGAUCACUGUACCGACGGCUAUGACCACCAGAUCCAUACCUCCUCAACGAGUCCCCUCCACUAGCAGCAGCGUUAAACGCGUUCAUCCAAUCCUCACCGGAAGAUCCUCCAUUGGUUCUUGGGCUGCUUUAAG